UUAUGAGAUUUUUGAUCUGCUCAGGAUGAACGCUGCGGCGUGCCUAAUACAUGCAAGUCGAGCGAACAGAUGAGAAGCUUGCUUCUCUGAUGUCAGCGGCGGACGGGUGAGUAACACGUGGGUAACCUACCUAUAAGACUGGGAUAACUCCGGGAAACCGGGGCUAAUACCGGAUAAUAUUUUGAACCGCAUGGUUCAUAGUGAAAGACGGUUUCGGCUGUCACUUAUAGAUGGACCCGCGCCGUAUUAGCUAGUUGGUAAGGUAACGGCUUACCAAGGCGACGAUACGUAGCCGACCUGAGAGGGUGAUCGGCCACACUGGAACUGAGACACGGUCCAGACUCCUACGGGAGGCAGCAGUAGGGAAUCUUCCGCAAUGGGCGAAAGCCUGACGGAGCAACGCCGCGUGAGUGAUGAAGGUCUUCGGAUCGUAAAACUCUGUUGUUAGGGAAGAACAAAUUUGUUAGUAACUGAACAAGUCUUGACGGUACCUAACCAGAAAGCCACGGCUAACUACGUGCCAGCAGCCGCGGUAAUACGUAGGUGGCAAGCGUUAUCCGGAAUUAUUGGGCGUAAAGCGCGCGUAGGCGGUUUCUUAAGUCUGAUGUGAAAGCCCACGGCUCAACCGUGGAGGGUCAUUGGAAACUGGGAAACUUGAGUGCAGAAGAGGAGAGUGGAAUUCCAUGUGUAGCGGUGAAAUGCGCAGAGAUAUGGAGGAACACCAGUGGCGAAGGCGGCUCUCUGGUCUGUAACUGACGCUGAUGUGCGAAAGCGUGGGGAUCAAACAGGAUUAGAUACCCUGGUAGUCCACGCCGUAAACGAUGAGUGCUAAGUGUUAGGGGGUUUCCGCCCCUUAGUGCUGCAGCUAACGCAUUAAGCACUCCGCAUGGAGAG
rnacentral:rRNA from 1 species